rnacentral:rRNA from 1 species
UUUGAAGCAACGUGAAGAACCUUACCAGGUCUUGACAUCCUCUGACAACCCUAGAGAUAGGGCUUUCCCUUUGGGGACAGAGUGACAGGUGGUGCAUGGUUGUCGUCAGCUCGUGUCGUGAGAUGUUGGGUUAAGUCCCGCAACGAGCGCAACCCUUGAUCUUAGUUGCCAGCAUUUAGUUGGGCACUCUAAGGUGACUGCCGGUGACAAACCGGAGGAAGGUGGGGAUGACGUCAAAUCAUCAUGCCCCUUAUGACCUGGGCUACACACGUGCUACAAUGGACAGAACAAAGGGCUGCGAGACCGCAAGGUUUAGCCAAUCCCACAAAUCUGUUCUCAGUUCGGAUCGCAGUCUGCAACUCGACUGCGUGAAGCUGGAAUCGCUAGUAAUCGCGGAUCAGCAUGCCGCGGUGAAUACGUUCCCGGGCCUUGUACACACCGCCCGUCACACCACGAGAGUUUGCAACACCCGAAGUCGGUGAGGUAACCUUUAUGAGCCAGCCGCCGAAGCAAUAA